AACGAACGCUGGCGGCAUGCCUAACACAUGCAAGUCGAACGAGACCUUCGGGUCUAGUGGCGCACGGGUGCGUAACGCGUGGGAACCUGCCCUUAGGUUCGGAAUACCUCCCCGAAAGGGGUGCUAAUACCGGAUAAUGUCUUCGGACCAAAGAUUUAUCGCCUUUGGAUGGGCCCGCGUUGGAUUAGCUAGUUGGUAGGGUAAAAGCCUACCAAGGCGACGAUCCAUAGCUGGUCGGAGAGGAUGAUCAGCCACACUGGGACUGAGACACGGCCCAGACUCGUACGGGAGGGAGGAGAGGGGAAUAUUGGACGAGGGGCGAAAGCCUGAUCCAGCAAUGCCGCGUGAGUGAUGAAGGCCUUAGGGUUGUAAAGCUCUUUUACCCGGGAUGAUAAUGACAGUACCGGGAGAAUAAGCUCCGGCUAACUCCGUG
rnacentral:rRNA from 1 species